rnacentral:rRNA from 1 species
GACGGAGGAUGCAAGCGUUAUCCGGAAUGAUUGGGCGUAAAGCGUCUGCAGGUGGCAGUUCAAGUCUGCUGUCAAAGACCGGGGCUUAACUUCGGAAAGGCAGUGGAAACUGAACAGCUAGAGUAUGGUAGGGGCAGAGGGAACUCCUGGUGUAGCGGUGAAAUGCGUAGAGAUCAGGAAGAACAUCGGUGGCGAAGGCGCUCUGCUGGACCAUAACUGACACUCAGGGACGAAAGCUAGGGGAGCGAAUGGG